GCCGGGCCUCCCCGCAUGGAAGCGCGCCCAACCGGGUCAGGUGGGGAACCAAGCAGCCCUUAGCGUUGCAACCAGUGCCGGGGUCAGGCUCGGCACC
rfam:Beta proteobacterium AAP65 AAP65_Contigs_5, whole genome shotgun sequence.